rnacentral:rRNA from 1 species
GAUGAACGCUGGCGGCGUGCCUAAUACAUGCAAGUCGAGCGAACGGACGAGAAGCUUGCUUCUCUGAUGUUAGCGGCGGACGGGUGAGUAACACGUGGAUAACCUACCUAUAAGACUGGGAUAACUUCGGGAAACCGGAGCUAACACCGGAUAAUAUUUUGAACCGCAUGGUUCAAAAGUGAAAGACGGUCUUGCUGUCACUUAUAGAUGGAUCCGCGCUGCAUUAGCUAGUUGGUAAGGUAACGGCUUACCAAGGCAACGAUGCAUAGCCGACCUGAGAGGGUGAUCGGCCACACUGGAACUGGAACACGGUCCAGACUCCUACGGGAGGCAGCAGUAGGGAAUCUUCCGCAAUGGGCGAGAGCCUGACGGAGCAGCGCCGCGUGAGUGGUGAAGGUCUUCGGAGCGUAAAACUCUGUUAUUAGGGAAGAACAUAUGUGGAAGUAACUGUGCACAGCUUGACGGUACCUGAUCAGAAAGCCACGGCUAACUACGUG